rnacentral:rRNA from 1 species
AUGGCUUCAGCAGGUUCAGCCAGCCUCGCUCUCAAGGCGGCCGCCGUCGCCGCCGUUCUCACCAUGCUGCUCGUACCUUCAUCCGGCCGCUGUCCGUCGCUGGGGCCGGCACCACCCCCGCCGGCACAGGCGCCACCACCGCUCGCACCGACACCACCGCCGCCGGCACAGGCGCCACCACCGCUCGCACCGACACCACCAGCGCCACCGCCGGCUCCGGCGCCGUGGAACCCACCAUGCUCUCAGUCCCGGCGCCAGCAGUGCUACUCGGAUACGUAUCCGGCUUGCUAUUCGGCGUGCACAACCUCCAACCCAUGCACCGAAUGCGAAUUGCUUGGUGCUCUCUGCAGCAACUGCAGGAUCGCCGAGAAAGACAAGUGCACGGCCGACUGCGCCGGCGGCGGCUGUGACUGCGACGCCGCCGCCGCCGCCGCCAGCGCAUGCCGCACCGACUGCGGACUGAAUUAUGGUCGCUGCAACAGCUGCACGACGGCCGCGACCGACAAGUGCAACGCCAACUGCACCAGCGGCGGCAGCUGUGACUGCCACGGUGCCGCCAAGAGUGCAUGCCGCAACGAUUGUGCCGCCGAAACAUGCUACUCGUGCGCGCGCGCACAACUGAAGAAUUGCGACACCGUUUGCUCGGCCGAAUGCAACAAGUGUUUUGCGCCGUAG